rnacentral:rRNA from 1 species
CCUACGGGAGGCAGCAGUGAGGAAUAUUGGUCAAUGGGCGGGAGCCUGAACCAGCCAAGUCGCGUGAGGGAAGACGGUCCUACGGAUUGUAAACCUCUUUUGCCGGGGAGCAACGGGGUCCUUGCGAGGGCCCAAUGAGAGUACCCGGAGAAAAAGCAUCGGCUAACUCCGUGCCAGCAGCCGCGGUAAUACGGAGGAUGCGAGCGUUAUCCGGAUUUAUUGGGUUUAAAGGGUGCGUAGGCGGGCUGUUAAGUCAGCGGUCAAAUGUCGGGGCUCAACCCCGGCCUGCCGUUGAAACUGGCUGCAUCGAGUGGGCGAGAAGUAUGCGGAAUGCGUGGUGUAGCGGUGAAAUGCAUAGAUAUCACGCAGAACUCCGAUUGCGAAGGCAGCAUACCGGCGCCCUACUGACGCUGAGGCACGAAGGCCAGGGGAGCGAAAGGGAUUAGAUACCCUAGUAGUC